rnacentral:rRNA from 1 species
GAUGAACGCUGGCGGCGUGCCUAAUACAUGCAAGUCGAGCGAACGGACGAGAAGCUUGCUUCUCUGAUGUUAGCGGCGGACGGGUGAGUAACACGUGGAUAACCUACCUAUAAGACUGGGAUAACUUCGGGAAACCGGAGCUAAUACCGGAUGAUAUUUUGAACCGCAUGGUUCAAAAGUGAAAGACGGUCUUGCUGUCACUUAUAGAUGGAUCCGCGCUGCAUUAGCUAGUUGGUAAGGUAACGGCUUACCGAGGCAACGAUGCAUAGCCGACCUGAGAGAGUGAUCGGCCACACUGGAACUGAGACACGGUCCAGACUCCUACGGGAGGCAGCAGUAGGGAAUCUUCCGCAAUGGGCGAAAGCCUGACGGAGCAACGCCGCGUGAGUGAUGAAGGUCUUCGGAUCGUAAAACUCUGUUAUUAGGGAAGAACAUAUGUGUAAGUAACUGUGCACAUCUUGACGGUACCUAAUCAGAAAGCCACGGCUAACUACGUG